rnacentral:snoRNA from 1 species
CUCCACAGCUACUGGUCUGGAACUGCUCUGUGGAACUGUAGCAGUUGCAGGAUUCCGUCUGUGGAAGAUAAAAUGUUACCUAGUACUGAACUCUCCAGAUACCUGUUCUGGGGAGGACUUUCUGUGUAACUAACAGUG